CGGGCGGGCGGCCGGGCGUGCGGGCUCCGUCCCCGCGCGCUCCGUGGACCGGCCCUGGCUGCUGGCUCGCUCGCUGCAGGAGCCGGGGGCUGCGGGGCCUCCGGCUGCCGCGGUCAUGAGCGCAGUGUCGGAGCCACAGGCUCUGUCCGGCACCCCCGAGAAGCCGCCUAGCUCAGCUAUUCUGUGCCGGACAUGUGGUACACCCUGCCGGGGAGAGGUGCUGCGUGUAAGGAGUCAGUACUUCCACAUCAAGUGCUUCGUGUGCAAAGCCUGUGGCUGUGACCUGGCCGAGGGAGGCUUCUUCGUGCGGCAGGGCGAGUACAUCUGCACCAGUGACUACCAGCGGCUCUAUGGCACCCGCUGCUUCAGCUGUGACCUGUUCAUCGAGGGCGAGGUGGUUUCUGCAUUAGGCAAGACCUACCACCCUGACUGCUUCGUGUGUGCCGCCUGCCGGCUGCCCUUUCCGCCUGGGGACCGUGUGACCUUCAAUGGGAAGGAAUGUGUGUGCCAGAAGUGCUCCCUGCACACAGCGGCGGGCGCCGGGCACCCAACCCAGGGCCUCUGGAGCUGCGGUGGCUGCGGCGCAGAGAUCAAGGACGGCCAGUCCCUGGUGGCACUGGACCAACACUGGCACCUGGGCUGCUUCCGGUGCCGGGCGUGUGGGAAGCAGCUGGACGCCGAGUACAUCAGCAAAGACGGGUUGCCCUACUGCGAGGCCGACUACCACACCAAGUUUGGGGUGCGCUGUGAUGGCUGCGGCAAGUUCAUCACUGGGCAUGUGCUGGAGGCUGGGGACAAGCACUACCACCCGCUGUGUGCAGUCUGUGUGCGCUGUGGCCGCACCUUCGCAGAGGGGGAGGAGAUGUACUUGCAAGGCUCCUGCAUCUGGCAUCCAGCAUGUCGCCAAGCUGCCCGCUCUGAAGACAGAAGUAAGGUGCAGAACACGCUUGGCAGUCUAGGGUCCCCAGGCAGUGCACCCAGCGCCUUACAGGAAACCAGGACUUCCUCCGAGAGCAUCGUGUCUGCACCUGCCUCCAGCACCUCAGGGUCCCCAAGCAGAGUCAUCUAUGCGAAGCUGGGCGAUGAGAUUCUGGACUACCGGGACCUGGCUGCCCUCCCGAAGAGCAAGGCCAUCUACAACAUCGACAGGCCCGAUAUGAUCUCAUACACGCCCUAUAUCAGCCACUCGGCAGGGGACCGGCGGGGCUGCAGCGAGCCCGCUCAGGUGCCUUCGCCAACACCAACAGAGGGGGACCAGGAUGAGCGCUCCUACAAGCAGUGCCGGACCUCCAGUCCCAGCUCCACCGGCUCAGUCAGCCUUGGGCGCUAUACCCCCACCUCCCGCUCACCCCAGCACUACAGCCGCCCAGGCAGUGAAAGCGGCCGCAGCACUCCCAGCCUCUCUGUGGCCUCUGAUGGGAAGGCCCCCCAGCUCAGCUACCAGCCGGCACCUCGGCAUUUCCACGUCCCAGAGACGGGCAAGGAAAACAUCUACCGGAAGCCGCCCAUCUACAAGCAGCAUGGUCCCUUGGCCCAGUCCCCCGUCUCCAAGCUCUCGGGCCUGAUGUCAGUCUUGUCCCUGGUGGUGCGUGGGGCGGGGUGCUCCAAAAGACUUCGAGGCCCCAGCCCGCCUCGAGCCACAGCUGUGAAGGGUUUGGAGGGAGAUGACGGAAGCUUCGCCUUGGACAGCAGGAAGAAGGCCACCUGGCUGCUUCUCAAAGGCGAUACUGACACCAGGACGAACUCCCCUGACCUGGCCACUCAGUGCCUGUCACAGGACAGCGGUGCAGACCAGGACACGCUGCAGGCGACGCCGGGGGACAGCUUUUACUCACGAUGUCCCCCCUCCAACCCCGACCCUGUCCCGGGACACGGAAACAGUGGCCUGGACCACCGGAAUGCCAGUGCAGCCCCCUGGGGAGCAGACCCGGAUGCUGGCUGGGGCACGCGAGAGUACAAGGUAAGGCCACCGCACCCUGCUGCCCGCCCCGCACCACUUGCCCUGUGCUGAGCUGCGCUCCUGUCCCCAGGUGUACCCCUAUGAAGCCCUCAUUGUCACUAACCGACUCCGCGUCAAGCUGCCCAAGGAUGUGGACCGGACAAGGCUGGAGAGACACCUGUCCCCGGAGGACUUCCAUGCCGCCUUCGGGAUGAGUGCGGCCGAGUUCGAGCGGCUGGCCCUCUGGAAGAGGAACGAGCUGAAGAAGAAGGCGCUGCUGUUCUGAGCCACUCCCCGCCUGGCUCUGGCUUCUCCUCACUGGGGCCAGGUGGGGG